CUAAAUGAUGAAUCAUUUGGAAUCUCGUUCUUCUGAAUAUUGAUGAGAUCUUUAAAUCUGAAAGCA